rnacentral:rRNA from 1 species
AUACGGAGGGUGCAAGCGUUACUCGGAAUCACUGGGCGUAAAGCGCGCGCAGGCGGCUAUUUAAGUUGGAUGUGAAAGCCUACGGCUCAACCGUAGAACUGCAUCCAAAACUAUUUAGCUAGAGUGUGGGAGAGGAAGAUGGAAUUAGUUGUGUAAGGGUAAAAUCCGUAGAGAUAACUAGGAAUACCAAAAGCGAAGGCAAUCUUCUGGAACACUACUGACGCUGAGGCGCGAAAGCGUGGGGAGCAAACGGGAUUAGAAACCCUUGUAGUCC